UUAUUUGUAUUAUGAAACCAAGGUUCUGAGAACCGGACCGGUCAUCGAACCGUUUUAGUUACUGGUUCAUUGGUUUAUUGGUCCAACCGGUCUAACCGUAGUUUAACCGAAAAAACCGUUUUAAAAUAAAAUAAUAAAUAAAUUAUAAAUAAACAUCCUAAAAUAUAACUCAACCUAUUUUUUGUCUCAUGACAACACUAUCAUUCAAACAACAUAAUCAUUGAAUACAAUGCAAAGCUACUUAUUCAUUGAGAUCUCACAUUAUACAAACAACUUUCACGACUUAAGUUCACAUUUUCAGCAAACAAUUGUAACCAAUGUUAUUUUUUCUUUUACGAUGAUAUGUACAAAACUACAAACUAACUGGAAAUAGAUAUGAGCUUAGAUGCAUGAUUAUGUAGUGUAGUGAGGUGAAUUUUUGUCUCUUUGUUAACAUGAGAUUAUACAAUGCUCCCCCUGUGAAUUUGUCUCCAAGAAACAUUAUAAUAUUCAUGAAUUCACAAAAUGUUUACUCUAGGGAACCAGAGAGCAUAGAUACUGGACUAGGCAAGUAAUGCUUAACUACAUUGAAUAAAUUUGCAUGGCCUUGACAUGACUUUGACUAAUAACACAGAUACAAAUAUGCAUUGAAAUAACCCCAAUCAUAAACACCAUUACCAAAUUAAAUAAAAAAUUAACCAAAAAUCACCUUGCAAAUCAAAAACUCAAUCUCUUGAACUCAAUAAUUACAUCCGAUAUCCAACUAAAUAAUUGCAUCACAGUUAUCAUAAAUUGAUUUCAAAGCCUAGAAGCAGAGUGAAAUUAAAAACAUGAAGCAUAUAAUAAAUCAAAAGAUCACCAAUAGCAAGUUUUUUAAUAAGAACAGAAGUUAAGAACAAUGAAAAAUGAAAAAAGAUUCAACAGUUUUCAACCCAAUUUUAAUAAAGCUCAUCACAAUGAUUAACAACAACAAAAAGUAAUGAAGGAACAGUGAAUCAGUAACAGGCAGUGCAAAUUUAAAAUUUAAAAGUUAUCAAUUUAAAAUUUAUCAUCAAAUACAAUCAGUGAGCAAAGCCAAUCAACCAAGCACUAACUAAGUAUUCUGUUCUGAUUCUGUGACUAAGAAGCAACAAAUUCAGCCACAAAAGUUACAGCAACAAAUUUAACAAAUCCAAGUAAAGUCCCAAUUUACAGUAACAUUUAGAUUAGCAACAAGGCAAAUUUGAUUAGCAAUUCAGCAACAUGCAAAAAUACAGGGAGAAGGGAAAUCU